CCUACGGGUGGCAGCAGUGAGGAAUAUUGGUCAAUGGACGAGAGUCUGAACCAGCCAAGUAGCGUGAAGGAUGACUGCCCUAUGGGUUGUAAACUUCUUUUAUAAAGGAAUAAAACGAGGCACGUGUGCCUUUUUGUAUGUACUUUAUGAAUAAGGAUCGGCUAACUCCGUGCCAGCAGCCGCGGUAAUACGGAGGAUCCGAGCGUUAUCCGGAUUUAUUGGGUUUAAAGGGAGCGUAGAUGGGUUGUUAAGUCAGUUGUGAAAGUUUGCGGCUCAACCGUAAAAUUGCAAUUGAUACUGGCAGUCUUGAGUACAGUUGAGGUAGGCGGAAUUCGUGGUGUAGCGGUGAAAUGCUUAGAUAUCACGAAGAACCCCGAUUGCGAAGGCAGCUUACUAAACUGUGACUGACAUUGAUGCUCGAAAGUGUGGGUAUCAAACAGGAGUAGAUACCCCAGUAGUC
rnacentral:rRNA from 1 species